rnacentral:rRNA from 1 species
AGAGGGCGUGAAACCGCUUAGAAGGAAACGAGAGGAGCCGUAAUUUACCACCAAAAUUCAGCUGUUGUGCUGCUUUGUGGCAUUAAUGGUGCAUUUUUUGGUGGUUUGCGCUGAGAGCUGUGCCGGAGGUUUUGGAGACCGCAAGAAGGUAGGCACAUUUUUGUGUACAUAUUCUUGAGGGCUAGCGCUACUCUCCGGUACAGUUUGGGAACACCCUGAAUGGAUCGACUCUGGUUGAUCAUUUUCUCAUUUCUAUGUUUCUGGUUUACAGCCGGUCUCAGUCAUUUGAGAUUUGUGAUUCUAUCAGCCGACAAGGUGUUGUCUCGGUGUGAAAGUCGGCUACCCUCCCGACCCGUCUUGAAACACGGACCAAGGAGUCUAACAUGUGCGCGAGUCAUUGGGUUUAUUAAACCUACAGGCGUAAUGAAAGUAAAGGCUGGCUCGGUCGGCUGACACAUGAUCCAAUUGGCUUGCCGGUUGGCGCAAUGUGGUCCCAUCUUGGAUGCUUGUCAUCGAGGUGGAGAUUGAGCGUACAUGUUGGGACCCGAAAGAUGGUGAACUAUGCCUGAACAGGAUGAAGCCAGAGGAAACUCUGGUGGAAGUCC